ACCUAAUUAUUUAGGUGAGAUGCAUCUUAUAAUAUAUAUAUUAGAGUAAUGCUUCUAUACUUUUUUUUUUUCGUUACCGUUAAUUCACACGUAUUCAACGGCUCAGAUUUAGUUUUUUUAAAAUUGUGACCUGCAAUAGUAAGUCACUUUGGGAGAGGCACCAGUUACCAGGUACCUCAAAAAAGGGUAUUUUUGUCUUUUAAUAUAUGGACAAUUUAGUCAUUUUACCUUUACUAUAUUUUCAAAAUUUUUAUUUUCUCUUUGUUUCAUUUUUCUCUCUCUAUCUUUCCUUUUAUAAUUUGGCAUUUCAUAUAAAAAAAUUUUCAAAUUAUUUGACAAUAUGAUCUUUUAAUUUUUCUUUUCUC
rnacentral:lncRNA from 1 species